rnacentral:rRNA from 1 species
UGGGGAAUAUUGGACAAUGGGCGAAAGCCUGAUCCAGCCAUGCCGCGUGUGUGAAGAAGGUCUUCGGAUUGUAAAGCACUUUAAGUUGGGAGGAAGGGCAGUAAGCGAAUACCUUGCUGUUUUGACGUUACCGACAGAAUAAGCACCGGCUAACUCUGUGCCAGCAGCCGCGGUAAUACAGAGGGUGCAAGCGUUAAUCGGAAUUACUGGGCGUAAAGCGCGCGUAGGUGGUUCGUUAAGUUGAAUGUGAAAGCCCCGGGCUCAACCUGGGAACUGCAUCCAAAACUGGCGAGCUAGAGUAGGGCAGAGGGUGGUGGAAUUUCCUGUUUAGCGGUGAAAUGCGUAGAUAUAGGAAGGAACACCAGUGGCGAAGGCGACCACCUUGGCUCAUACUGACACUGAGGUGCGAAAGCGUGGGGAGCAAACAGG